CUCAUUCCAAUAUCCAAUCUUUCGACUUGAUACAAUUUUCACUGAUUCACUGAUCCUUACACUUGCACUGAUAAUAAAAUUAAUUCAACGUACAGAGCACGUAUUAAUUGAAGCAGUCACGAUAUAUAUUAAAGAUAAUUUUUGAAAACACAAUUGCAUUUAAAAAAUUCAUAUCAUUUUCUGUGUUAAGCUUCAAUUUUCAAUUGAAUUCAAGAAGUCAUUGACUUCGAGUAAAUUCAUAAUGUCACCGUUAAGGGCUAACCACGAUAACACCUAAUGAAUGACGUAAUGAUCCUAAAUCACCGAUAACAGUAUUAAUAAGAAAAGUUACAUCCUCAAUUUUAAACUGAAUCCACAAUUAAGACACUUUCAGCGUCUCUUAUCGUUUCGACACAUCAUAGUACUACAACUAGAAUUAAUUAACACGUUAAUCACCAUAGCAACGGACACGACUGAUUAUCAUUGAAUUAUUAUCGCGUGGUUGGAGGCACUAUUGAUAAAAUUAAAUGUAGCAAAGGUCCAAGAGACAGGAUCGCGACAAAUUCUUGGACAAGUUACACGCGCACUGUGCGUCAAGAUAAAUUGUCAUGGACAAUAUUCCGCAGUAUAAAUAAUGAAUAAAAAUUAAAUUAACAAAACUCAACUGACGAGCGAUCAGCACCGGAUUACUUUCCACGAACUAUCAUUUGAACAAGACCGAGACUCGCUGGCGUGCGAAGAGAAUAUAAAAAUGGACGCACUGAAACGAUCCUCCAAAUUCUUCCGAUCGCAACACGAUGAUUCACUAUGAGAAUAACAGUAGGUGUGUCUUGUACGAUACAAGAUAACAGAUAACGAACACACAUUUAAGCUGUAUAUCGGCACGUGUUUACGAUUAAAUAUUGCACUACACAAUCAGUGAUAAAAGUAACUAAUAAAUCCUCUGUUUUAUGCAGAACGUUGUACUCGUGUUCAGCCGUGAAGUUUCGACGAGUCGCUAAGUAAGGAAAGGUUAGGACAAACAGACUGUAAAGUUAAGUCCCGUGUACGGCAGUAUAGCGCGAGGAAGAGACAGACAAACAGAUAGAAGUGGGGAUACGACGAGUGCCAGCAGCAGCAGGGUUUGAAAAGCGGUCUGACUAUAUAUUGUGGUAUAGUUGGUAGGAGCUGUCGAUUCUUAGAAGAGACAACCGUUGCUCGAGAAAAGGACAUUUGAAUUCCUACAGCGGGCUCAGGAUCAGGUCAACUCCAGACCGAUGUCGAACAGAUCUUAUUGCUUCCAGCAGAACCUCCGGAUACAAGACGGUUUGCCAUCUGUUGGCCUUCAGUUCCCUGGAACUUCUAUAGGUACGAAGAUACCAAGAGAAGGGGGGGUCAUAAUCAAACUAUGACGUGGUUCUCUCAAGAUCCCGUCUGACCCCGUGCAGAACCGAUCUGACUCCCACAGAUCGAGUCUCCCCUGUUUGCACAGCUGGCUCGUCCCCUGGUUCGGUCCAUGCUCUUCGGGUACCAGAUGGCCUUGACCUCAAGCCUGUAGUUAGCCACCCUCUUCGGAUCACUUCAUCGUGGAGGCGAAGAUCCCCAAGACCUAGGUAGACGUUUCAAUGGUACUCAACGAGUACUCAUGCUGGUUGACUUCAUCCAACUUCAUCCCCGUCCAACGCUUGCAGUCAGGAGCACCGGGUCUGGAUGUUCGCCGUCGCACACACGCCUAGGUCCCAGACUCAACGUGCCUUCUUAUCUGACCCCCAUGCCGUGACGUGACUGACUGGCUUAACGAAAUCGUGUCCACCUCGACUCCGCCUCCGGUCCGAAGAAAAGCUCGGGAAAGAAGGAGAGCAACCAAGAAACACAACAAAGUGCUCGAAAAUAUUCACGACUUUUAUUUUGAAAUAUGCCAAACAAAAUGGCUGCGGGGACUCGACUUUGUCAUGGAAGCACUCUUGUCGGGUAAAAUGGUAUCUACCCACGGGUAUAAGGGUUGACUGUCCAAGUAGCUAUACAGAAGGUCUCAAUUGAAUGCUACAAACAGAGCGUGGGCUUAGACAAGCUCUAAAAGUAAAUGAUCAAAAUUACGAUAAUUUUCAAACUACGCAAAAUAGAUUUCACGAAAACUUGAAAAUACCAUAUACCAUGCGAAAGACGGGAAUCGAAGUAGCGAUCAGUUUAAAAAUUCGAAAAAAUUUUGU